GCGAGCGUGAAGGCAGCUGGCGUAAUGACGCUCCUGGAGGGAGGAGAAGCAGCCUGGGCUUGCUGGCUCGGGGCCGACAGACACAUCCCUGCUCCACGUGUUUCAUGUGUUGAAGAACACCCGUCUGGGGUGAUGUUGACAACUCCGAACACCCUGGAAUCUGUGCCUCCCGUGUUGGGGAACGCCAUCUACUCUCCCCGGUGGCCGAGCGUCCCACGCUGACUCGGUGUGCUGGCCAAGCCCUCCUCUCUCAGCCGACGUCACCUUCUCAGGGCCGCUCAGGGCAAAGGGUUAACCUCACCCAAAGAAAGGUUUGUCCCUUUGUCCCUGGCUCCUGGGGGUAACCUCUAAGCCCUUGGAACGUCCUUCCUGAUAAGACUGUCUUCAUUUCCCACCAGGAAAGAGAACAAGGCUGGCAACUGACGAAUGACCAUCAUGGAUUCAAGACUCAGCCUGAUUUCAGUGAUGUGAAAACGUGGGGAGAAGAAGUGCAUCUUAGAAUAAACAAAAGAAGGCAAAGUAAAGUGUGCUGAGUAUUAUAGUAAGGGGGGGGAAGGGUUGUUAGGGGGGGACAGAAGAGGGGAGCCAUGCAGUGUGUGUCAGGGGGGCUCUGCCAAGGUAGUGACAUCCAAGAUGGGACUUGAGGGUGGAGCACAAGAGUUAGGUUGGAGAAGCGGGGUGUGGUGGAGUCAGAGGGAUGGGUCGGAACGAGGUCCAAAUGCAGUGAUUCUAGGGGGAGCUGGCGGGUGCAGGGAGACUGGCUUCUUCAGGGACCUGAACGAGGCCCAUGGAGCUGGAGCAGGGAGGUUUCUGGGGCCAGAACAUCCAGGUGCUUGUAGACCACGUAAAUAACAGUGUUUUCGUACACACUGCUGAGGACUCGGCUUCUGUCCUUCACCUUGGAGACCGGCCCGCUCGCUGUGGCGCUUGUCUCCAUGGCAACGCCCUGAGCCUGCCUCCAUCCCCCUCAGCGGGGAGAGAGCUCGGGGAAGAAGCUCCACGGCACGCACGGCAAGGGUGGACCCCCAGGUUGGCCUGACUGGGGUUACGGAGCCGAGGCACGGACUCGAGACUUCAAUCAGUGGCCCAGGCCUGUGUUUCACGCAUGUUAAAUGGUUAAAUUUAGGCAACAAUUUUACAGAAGGGCCAAAUCAGGAUGUGUUGGGCCACUGCAGGCUCAGAAGUCACAGUUUUCUAGUGGCUGUACAAGUGUCUGAGGCAUGACAGGCAUCUCCUCUCACUGUUCACUGAUUCACUCCUUCAUCUCUUCACUCGUUAUGCAAAUGUCGGUUGCCAUCUUCACAUGGCUGUUCACUCUUGGGUAUCCCAGGAAGGAAAUCGUGAGUGACCUCUUAUUCACGAGAGCCAAGGGGUGGAAGCAACCCAGUGUCCAUCGAUGGAUGGAUGGGUAAACACAGUGUGGUCCAUCCACACAAGGGAAUAUUAUUCAGCUUCAAAAGGCAGGAAUUCUGACAUAUGCUACAGCAUGGAUGAACCUUGAGGACAUUACGCUCAGUGAAAUAAGCCAGUCACAAAAGGACCAAUACUGUAUGAUUCCACUUACAUGAGGUUCCUGGAGUAGUCAGAUUCAC
rnacentral:lncRNA from 1 species